AAUCAACGCUGGCGGCGUGCCUCAGACAUGCAAGUCGAACGCGAAAGGCUCCUUCGGGGGCCGAGUAGAGUGGCGCACGGGUGAGUAACACGUAGGUAAUUUGUCCUUUGGGUGGGGAAUAACUCAGGGAAACUUGAGCUAAUACCGCAUAAUGCAGCGGCUCGACAUCGAGACAGUUGUUAAAGCGGGGGAGUCGCAAGACCUCGCGCCUGAAGAGAAGCCUGCGGCAGAUUAGCUAGUUGGUAGGGUAAUGGCCUACCAAGGCGACGAUCUGUAACCGGCCUGAGAGGGCGGUCGGUCACACUGACACUGACAUACGGGUCAGACUCCUACGGGAGGCAGCAGUCGGGAAUUUUUGGGCAAUGGGCGCAAGCCUCGACCCACGCAACGCCGCGUGAAGGAUGAAAUCCCUC
rnacentral:rRNA from 1 species